rnacentral:rRNA from 1 species
CGGGGCCGCACAAGCGAGGAGCAUGUGGUUUAAUUCGAUGAUACGCGAGGAACCUUACCUGGGCUCGAACGUAAGAUGACUGUAGGUGAAAGCUUACAUCUCUUCGGAGCAUUUUACGAGGUGCUGCAUGGUUGUCGUCAGCUCGUGCCGUGAGGUGUCGGGUUAAGUCCCAUAACGAGCGCAACCCCUACCUUUAGUUGCCAUCAGGUUAAGCUGGGGACUCUAAAGGAACUGCCUACGCAAGUAGUGAGGAAGGCGGGGAUGACGUCAAAUCAGCACGGCCCUUACGUCCAGGGCUACACACGUGCUACAAUGGCCGAUACAGAGGGCAGCUACCUGGUGACAGGAUGCAAAUCUCCAAAGUCGGUCUCAGUUCGGAUCGGAGUCUGCAACCCGACUCCGUGAAGUUGGAUUCGCUAGUAAUCGCGCAUCAGCCAUGGCGCGGUGAAUACGUUCCCGGGCCUU